UACGUAGGUGGCGAGCGUUGUCCGGAUUUAUUGGGCGUAAAGCGCGCGCAGGCGGUGCGGUAAGUCUGUCGUGAAAUCUCCCGGCUCAACUGGGAGGGUGCGGUGGAGACUGCCGGACUGGAGGCACUCAGAGGCCGGUGGAAUUCCCGGUGUAGUGGUGAAAUGCGUAGAGAUCGGGAGGAACACCGGUGGCGAAGGCGGGUCUCUGGGCCGUAACUGACGCUGAGGAGCGAAAGCGUGGGGAGCGAACAGG
rnacentral:rRNA from 1 species